CCCUAGCACAGGUGCUGCAUGGCCGUCGUCAGCUCGUGCCGUGAGGUGUUGGGUUAAGUCCCGCAACGAGCGCAACCCCGCCGUUAGUUGCCAGCGGUUCGGCCGGGCACUCUAACGGGACUGCCCGCGAAAGCGGGAGGAAGGAGGGGACGACGUCUGGUCAGCAUGGCCCUUACGGCCUGGGCGACACACGUGCUACAAUGCCCACUACAAAGCGAUGCCACCCGGCAACGGGGAGCUAAUCGCAAAAAGGUGGGCCCAGUUCGGAUUGGGGUCUGCAACCCGACCCCAUGAAGCCGGAAUCGCUAGUAAUCGCGGAUCAGCCAUGCCGCGGUGAAUACGUUCCCGGGCCUU
rnacentral:rRNA from 1 species